rnacentral:rRNA from 1 species
GGAUUAGAUACCCUGGUAGUCCUAGCCGUAAACGAUGUAUACUUGAUGUAGUUGGUCUCAACCCCAAUUGUGUCGAAGCUAACGCGAUAAGUAUACCGCCUGGAGAGUACGCUCGCAAGAGUGAAACCUAAAAGAAUUGACGGGGGCCCGCACAAGCAGUGGAGCAUGUGGUUUAAUUCGAUGCAACGCGAAGAACCUUACCUAGGCUUGAAUUUGAGUAGACCGCACUGGAGACAGUGUUUCCCGCAAGGGCUGCUUGAGAGGUGCUGCAUGGCUGUCGUCAGCUCGUGCUG